rnacentral:rRNA from 1 species
CAGCAGCCGCGGGAAAACGGAGGGGGCUAGCGUUGUUCGGAAUUACUGGGCGUAAAGCGCACGUAGGCGGCUUGGUAAGUUAGAGGUGAAAGCCCGGAGCUCAACUCCGGAAUUGCCUUUAAGACUGCCGAGCUAGCAGGUGAGAGAGGUAAGUGGAAUUCCGAGUGUAGAGGUGAAAUUCGUAGAUAUUCGGAAGAACACCAGUGGCGAAGGCGACUGACUGGACAAGUAUUGACGCUGAGGUGCGAAAGCGUGGGGAGCAAACAGGAUUAGAUACCCCAGUAGUCCCUGUCUCUUAUAC